rnacentral:rRNA from 1 species
UACGUAGGGUGCAGGCGUUAAUCGGAAUUACUGGGCGUAAAGCGUGCGCAGGCGGUUUCUUAAGUCAGAUGUGAAAGCCCCGGGCUUAACCUGGGAACUGCGUUUGAAACUGGGAGACUGGAGUGUGGCAGAGGGGGGUGGAAUUCCACGUGUAGCAGUGAAAUGCGUAGAUAUGUGGAGGAACACCGAUGGCGAAGGCAGCCCCCUGGGUUAACACUGACGCUCAUGCACGAAAGCGUGGGGAGCAAACAGG